GGCCGCCCUGACCCCGCGCGGCCGCCGUACGGAAGAUGGCGGCGGGGCCCGGCCCGGCCCGGCCCGCUCCCACCCCGCCCCGGCGCAGGAACAGACCCCAAAAUGGCGCUGUCGGACCGUUUAUUGGGGGUUGCUGUAGUUGCAGUCACGCCGGACGAGGGACUGCACCUGAUCCAGCAGUUGCUGGAAGAGCAUCACGUCUCGCUCCAGGCGGCGGAUGGUGCUGAGCGCCGAGUCUUUGAACAGACAUGAAGUUACUCUUACUAGCACGGUCUGUGCCCAGCGAUAACAAACCCUUGGGAGUUCCUAACGCGGAUGAAAAGGUGCAAUAUUUCUGCCGUACCCUAAAUACAGAAAUAAAACACAUUCUUAAAUGUGCGGUUCAGCAUUGCACACACACACACACACACAGAGAUUUUUUUGGAAGCUCGUCUGAUUCUGCCCCGCCUCAGCAGAGCAAAAUUGAUUUGCAAGUGUGCCUAAAAUCCAAAAGCAUUGCUUUUACAGAUAUAUAUAUUUAAUUUCCUCCUAAACCCCCCCCCCCCCCCUUUCACACUGUAAUUUCUCCCUGAGACCCCGGCGUGACGCUGGGGCGGCCGGAGCGGAGGAGGCUGUGCAGUAGGUUGUGUAGGUCAGCAGCGGGAGUCACAUCCCCUCCCGACACCAGCCCUGACAAUGAGCCCAGCCUUGAAACCAGGUGGGGGUUGGGGGUUCAACACCUUAGUUGACCACCUCGAGGGCUGCUGCGUCUGGAAUGUCAUCAAAACGCACGCGAGCAAGCUGACAGGCAUGUGUGUGAAAUACUUGACGCAGCCGGAGUCAUUCUUACACAUACUGCCCUAAAACACCUCCUUAACCUAAAAAAACCAACAGGCACGCAGAGGAGGAAAGGGAUGCUCCCAAAAGAUUCCGCAGCGAUAGCGGGGAGCUGCUCACCUUUUCCUGCAUCUUCUCCAGAAGCUUGCUCUUGGCUCGGACCUCCUCCUGGAUGGAGUCGUAGACGUUAAGCAGGACCCAGUCACUGCUGUCCUCGUUAGAUUGCUGCAGGGCAGCCACCAGCUGCAUCCUCCGCUCGUCCGCGUAUUUUUUCCGGCGUUUAUGCUUUUCUUUGAGGUCCUUGUUUUUAGCCUGCUCCCCUCCUACUACCUGUUGCUCCAGCAUCUGCAGCCUGGGAAGGGCAAACGCUUCUCUUAGCUUAGCAGGACAAAGAACUGUCCACGUGAGCACGGAGGACACACGUCCCCACCUCACCGACAUCUGGGGAGACACCAGAAAACAUCCAGAAAACGUCCAGAAAAUGGUGAUUUCUGAUGAGAUUUGCUGCCCUGAGUAAUCGUGGAAAAUUCUACUUAAUUUAUUAAGUUUCUGUCAUAAAUACUCCUGUGGAUGCAAGGCAGCGUGUGUGUUAUUGUGUCAACAGGUGUGUCUGGAAAUCUGUAUCUACGCUCCCAGAACUCUUUUUUUAAAAGCCCUGUUUUGUGAAAUUUACAUUUAAAUUCUUAUUGAAAUAUACAUUGACUAUAGCACCAUA